CUGCACACAACUCCUUUUUAUGUGAAACUCUUGUAGAAGACCAUGGAAAUCGGCAUGCAGAGCGCUUAGAGAAAUGAUGUGUGCAUUAUGCCUUUUUAGCUGUACUAAGCCCCUUCUAUUUGGAAUUAAUUACCUAAAGAUGCGUGUGAUAUUAGAACUAGACAUUUGGCUGGCUUUUGUGCAAGUGCUAACAAUGAAGAGAGGAUACUUCAUCUACAGGAAUUAAUUGAUCCAUCUCAAGCAGAGAGAAACCAACAUUUCUCAGUCAUGGAUUGGAAUUUACUGAAGAUCUCUGGGAAGUGCUACACUA